rnacentral:rRNA from 1 species
AAAGAAACCAACAGGGAUUGCCCUAGUAACGGCGAGUGAAGCGGCAACAGCUCAAAUUUGAAAUCUGGCUUCGGCCCGAGUUGUAAUUUGCAGAGGAAGCUUUAGGCGCGGCACCUUCUGAGUCCCCUGGAACGGGGCGCCAUAGAGGGUGAGAGCCCCGUAUAGUUGGAUGCCUAGCCUGUGUAAAGCUCCUUCGACGAGUCGAGUAGUUUGGGAAUGCUGCUCAAAAUGGGAGGUAAAUUUCUUCUAAAGCUAAAUACCGGCCAGAGACCGAUAGCGCACAAGUAGAGUGAUCGAAAGAUGAAAAGCACUUUGAAAAGAGGGUUAAAUAGCACGUGAAAUUGUUGAAAGGGAAGCGCUUGUGACCAGACUUGCGCCGGGCAGAUCAUCCGGUGUUCUCACCGGUGCACUCCGCCCGGCUCAGGCCAGCAUCGGUUCUCGCGGGGGGAUAAAGGCCCUGGGAACGUAGCUCCUCCGGGAGUGUUAUAGCCCGGGGCGUAAUGCCCUCGCGGGGACCGAGGUUCGCGCAUCUGCAAGGAUGCUGGCGUA